rnacentral:rRNA from 1 species
UACCAGCACCCCGAGUGGUCGGGACGAUUAUUGGGCCUAAAGCAUCCGUAGCCGGUUUUACAAGUCCUCCGUUAAAUCCAGCUGCUUAACAGAUGGGCCGCGGAGGAUACUACAGAGCUAGGAGGCAGGAGAGGCAAGCGGUACUCAGUGGGUAGGGGUAAAAUCCGUUGAUCCAUUGAAGACCACCAGUGGCGAAGGCGGCUUGCCAGAAUGCGCUCGACGGUGAGGGAUGAAAGCUGGGGGAGCAAACCGG